UGCAGUCGAGCGGGGAAGGGUAGCUUGCUACCUGACCUAGCGGCGGACGGGUGAGUAAUGCUUAGGAAUCUGCCUAUUAGUGGGGGACAACAUUCCGAAAGGAAUGCUAAUACCGCAUACGCCCUACGGGGGAAAGCAGGGGAUCUUCGGACCUUGCGCUAAUAGAUGAGCCUAAGUCAGAUUAGCUAGUUGGUGGGGUAAAGGCCUACCAAGGCGACGAUCUGUAGCGGGUCUGAGAGGAUGAUCCGCCACACUGGGACUGAGACACGGCCCAGACUCCUACGGGAGGCAGCAGUGGGGAAUAUUGGACAAUGGGCGAAAGCCUGAUCCAGCCAUGCCGCGUGUGUGAAGAAGGCCUUUUGGUUGUAAAGCACUUUAAGCGAGGAGGAGGCUACUUGGAUUAAUACUCUAGGAUAGUGGACGUUACUCGCAGAAUAAGCACCGGCUAACUCUGUGCCAGCAGCCGCGGUAAUACAGAGGGUGCGAGCGUUAAUCGGAUUUACUG
rnacentral:rRNA from 1 species